UGUAACCUUCGAAAAACAAAAAAUGCAACGAAGAAGUAAGACGUAGGAAUACUCCAGCCUCGUCGAGAUCUCCUACUAGGCAUUCGCACUGCGUGCUCCAUAAGGUCGGCUCAAGUUAACCUCCUCUGCAAAGUCCUGUUUCUACCAGAUCGAUCGGAUGGCUGCCUCUUGAAGCUUCUUAUUCACAAAAUCAAAUAGAUCGCUUCAUUUUCCUCAUAUUGAUACUAGUUUUGUUUGGUCUGAGCUGAUUCUGUGUCGAAUCUCUACUUUGUAGGCAGGUGAAGUUCCUCACUGAGGAGAUCUGGUAUAUCUGAGAUGUGUGCUUCAGAUCUGGUAGAUAUGAGAUGUGUGGUUCAUAACAUUUUUGUCAGGCUUGGGAAGCUGUUGCUAUCGGUGAGAGGUGCUUUGAUGCUGCAUGAACCACUUCAAGAUUCAGAUUCAUUUUGAUUAGAUCUUGUUUGGGCAGCUACUGGAUGAUCGUGUGCAGCAUUCUCUGAGUUGUGGAGUGGAUUUUCAAUCUGCUUCUAUUUUGAGAAUCAAUAAUGGAGACAAACUAUCAACGGAGGAACUCCUCUUGGAUUCUUUCAUUUUGAGCCGUUCUUAAAAAAAAUUUGAGCUACAAUUGUAAUGGCAAAAAUGUACUUUUUGUCAUUCAAUUAUGGGGCGAGUUUUAUUGUCGUCCUUAAGCUUUUUUUUUCUUCUCAUUUUCCUCCCUCAACAAUUGGAAAAUAUCAUUUUCAUCCUUCAAGGGAGAUUGAAGUGGGGAAAUGUUUGCGUGGAUUUUUUCAGCACCGGAUUUAUUCUAAGGACAAACGGGGUAUUUUUUCAUAGUUGGGGAUGAAAAAAGGAGGAAAAAAAAGUCAAGGGACGAAAAUGAAACCCGAUCGAGGGAUGAAAAGUGUCUUUUUGUCUGAUUCUAAUAUAGCUGAUUUUGAAGAAUUGUUUAAAAAGUUCUAUUGAUACAUGGGUUAUGCAUGUUAUGCGUAUAUGUGGGUGGGCUUUUAAGGGAAGAAUGCGUUGGAAUCCUUUUGCUAGUUGUUUUUUUUUUUGAGGUUUUCAUUAAUUAUUACUCAACAAGGGUGUCAAGAAUUAUGUCACCUGUUUUUGUAUAGUAAACUGUUUAUUUUACAAAGAUUAUAAUAAAGUAACGCGAAACUUUUUUUAUUAACAUAAAAUAUUGUAAAAUAGCGGUGGUUGUAGAAUAUUUUUCCUUGGCCUUUUAUCUUCAAAACGAAUUUGUUUUAUAUUGGGCUUAAUUUCUCCCUCUGCUCAUACCAUGGGCUUUAUUUACAAGAGUCUCGUGGGUUGGAUGAUACUGGACAUUGGAAUGGCGGAGUCUAGCAUGUACAUAUUUGCCUGCCCCAAGUAAAACCUAAUGGGUGGCUCGCACCGGACCAAAGAAAAGGACAAGUUCUAGAAGAUAAGAAAAACGUGGUUGUCCAUUUGCCGUGAGAAUAACGAUAAGCGUAGAAGUAACGCAAAGCAAUAUUUGACUUGUUCCCACGCCAGCGCAUAACAUAUGUCAACCCUUUGAUCAUUUCAUUCAUUAUCAAUCGUCUCCGUCCAUUUCGCAGAGAGCCCUCUAUAUAUUUAGUUAGGGUUUCCUCACAAUUCUCUCAUAAUUCGAUUUCCGCCUCUGAAUUUUAUCUUGUGGGCAUCCUCUUUCUGACUCUCUUCGGAAUUAAGGAUGUCUUAUAUGUUAGGGUUUUCGCUGGAUUUGUGUAGAUCGCUUAACGAUCUAUACGCUGAUGGAAGGCUCGCGUGUAUUGAGACGAUUCCUACUUUGAAUCUCGGAUCUGGCCAGACGUGAUCAAGGUUAAUAGAGAUCUUGUUGGAGGAUUGUGAUGCCGAACUUGCCUUUAUUGUUGGAUCUGUUGCUUGUAGUUACUCUGGAGAGUACAGGUACAGCCUUCACGAGAGCUGUGGAGGGCUCCUUUGGACGGGGUGAUGUUUUCGUCAUCGCCAGAGGUGCUUCUAGAUGCGGAUCUUGAGCCUGUAUCGAUGUAACGAGCACAAUCUUGGAUCUGCUAUUGUUUUUGAGGAUUAACUGUCGAUUUGGAUGUAUAAGAUAUCGGGAUGAAGAGGUCUAAUUUCAGGGGGCCAAAUCCUGUACAAUCUUUGUCAUCCGACCUUUGCCAUGGCAGGUGCGCUUGCAUGGCAGGUCACCCAUACACUUAAUAAAGAUAUCAUUUUGUGUUUUGAGGGGAGAUCGCACGGGGAUUUGCCCGGGAUCUCUCCUCGUGUGUGUGUGAUGUGUUGGUCUUUAUCCCUCUUUCUAUCCCGUCUCAACGGCCAAUAUCCUUGAUUCUUCAUAUGCAAAUGCAACGAAUUCGAGGGCUUCGUCUCCGGCAAAGAAUAUUCUGAAAGGUAUCUUCCACACCCACUACUAAUAUCGAAGAUUGCAAUAAUUUCAGUUACAUAUACCACCUUUUGACGUUACUGCCUUAGCGUGCAAAUUAACAUGAAAAAACCCGCCUUGAAUGGUGUCGCGAUUUUAUCCAAUCGAUAAGUGAUUAAUUUGGUAAUAAUGUUUUUUGACAUGGCAGUUAAUAUCAUAGAGGAGUUCAUCUGAACCACGGUUAAGGAUAAUCCUUGUAAGGCAAAUUUGAUUGUUAAUCGCUCAAUUGCUCCAUUCCAAUUUAUUUUUCGAGUUCAUUUACUUAUUUGCUCUUUAGUUGAUUUAGUUCUUUCACCAUUUGUUUUUCAUGUUGAUAAAUACGUUUUAUAAUUUUUUACUCUUUGCAAUCAAGUUCGAAGCUAUAAAUUACGGUUAUUUUGUAUUUUUUUUAUAGGUAAUGGUUUGGUUGUAAAUUAUGCUAAUUGUUCAGUAAUCUAAAGGAUACAUUGGUCAUCGUGUUGUAGAUUGUAUUUUUAUUCGGUAUUUCUGUCUUGUAAGAAUAUUUGAACUUCAGAUUCUGUAACUUCAGCGUUUAGCUGUUGGUGUUUGUAAUUGGUGCCUAGUACAAGAACUAGAGUGCUGGCCGCAUUGCUGGUGAAUUCAUCGUGGUGUUACAAGGCUUUGGUCCUCUCUCUUGACAAUGUGACGGGCAUAAAUUUGCAAUACAAGGUUUUUUAGUCAGUUUAGGUUUGUCCUGUUUAGUUAUUAUUGAAACACUUGUUGCACACACCAGUCAUUAAAAAGUUACUCUAAUUACUCAUGGAAUUGGUUCUUUU